CCUUCGGGGUUAGUGGCGCACGGGUGCGUAACGCGUGGGAACCUGCCUUUAGGUUCGGAAUAACUCCCCGAAAGGGGUGCUAAUACCGGAUAAUGUCUUCGGACCAAAGAUUUAUCGCCUUUAGAUGGGCCCGCGUUGGAUUAGCUAGUUGGUGGGGUAAAGGCUUACCAAGGCGACGAUCCAUAGCUGGUCUGAGAGGAUGAUCAGCCACACUGGGACUGAGACACGGCCCAGACUCCUACGGGAGGCAGCAGUGGGGAAUAUUGGACAAUGGGCGAAAGCCUGAUCCAGCAAUGCCGCGUGAGUGAUGAAGGCCUUAGGGUUGUAAAGCUCUUUUACCAGGGAUGAUAAUGACAGUACCUGGAGAAUAAGCUCCGGCUAACUCCGUGCCAGCAGCCGCGGUAAUACGGAGGGAGCUAGCGUUGUUCGGAAUUACUGGGCGUAAAGCGCACGUAGGCGGCUUUUUAAGUCAGGGGUGAAAUCCCGGGGCUCAACCCCGGAACUGCCUCUGAAACUGGAUGGCUAGAAUCUUGGAGAGGCGAGUGGAAUUCCGAGUGUAGAGGUGAAAUUCGUAGAUAUUCGGAAGAACACCAGUGGCGAAGGCGACUCGCUGGACAAGUAUUGACGCUGAGGUGCGAAAGCGU
rnacentral:rRNA from 1 species